rnacentral:rRNA from 1 species
AUUGAACGCUGGCGGCAUGCCUUACACAUGCAAGUCGAACGGUAACGGGUCCUUCGGGAUGCCGACGAGUGGCGAACGGGUGAGUAAUAUAUCGGAACGUGCCCAGUAGUGGGGGAUAACUGCUCGAAAGAGCAGCUAAUACCGCAUACGACCUGAGGGUGAAAGGGGGGGAUCGCAAGACCUCUCGCUAUUGGAGCGGCCGAUAUCAGAUUAGCUAGUUGGUGGGGUAAAGGCCUACCAAGGCAACGAUCUGUAGUUGGUCUGAGAGGACGACCAGCCACACUGGGACUGAGACACGGCCCAGACUCCUACGGGAGGCAGCAGUGGGGAAUUUUGGACAAUGGGCGCAAGCCUGAUCCAGCAAUGCCGCGUGCAGGAAGAAGGCCUUCGGGUUGUAAACUGCUUUUGUCAGGGAAGAAAUCUUCUGGGCUAAUACCCCGGGAGGAUGACGGUACCUGAAGAAUAAGCACCGGCUAACUACGUGCCAGCAGCCGCGGUAAAGUAUCG